GGGAGCUGGGGCCCCCGGGGCGGGCGGGGAGCGGGAGCCGCGUGUGGAGGAGCCCCGGGGAGGCGGAAUCGGAGCGAGUUGUUCGCGGAGGAAACUUGCGGCCGGCCGGGCGAGUCGCGAUAGUUGUGUCGUUGCGAUAGGGAGGUGGAAAAACCACCGAGGCUGGGUGUCAGUUCGGGUUCUUUCUCCUUAAAACAAACGCGGGGUUUGGGGUGUGUUUGGUUAUCGGAAGUUGGGCGCUGAGGAAAUUCGGCUUUUUUACUUCCCCUCGCUAAAAUACGCUUUAAUGUCUUCUGGUUAUUACUCUGGAUUUAAAUUUUUUAUUUCAGUUUCCACUUGCUUUGCCGCGCGGUUGUUGGGCUGGUUUCUUUGGGGGUUGUGUGGCAGGGACAGGCCUGGGACAAGUUCUGACCUCUGCUUCCUCGUGGCUUAAAAACGGGUUUUAGUUUUGCGUUUUUUUUCUAUUACAGUUGAUGGUUGGUACCUAAAAGAGAAUGAAAUGGUGUUUAUUUAGCAAUUCACAGCUCGUAGGCAGGGGAGGAAUUAGGAUUACAGCUCCCAAGAAGUGCUGGAAAUGAAGAUAACAAUCUCAGUGUGCCCGUAGUAAACAACAAAAACACCGAAGAACUCUCCCGUAUUUUUAAAAAAACCACACUUUUCUCCAGUUUGAAGGUCAUGGAAUAUUCAGGUUCCUCACAGAAAUCCUAUUUUUAACCAUUAAAUGCUUGUACAUCACCCACGUGUUAAGGGAUGAGUUUAGACAGGAGUUGAGAGCUGUCGGUGAGUUUUUAUCCCCAGCCAAACAUCCUGGACCUGGUUUUUGUCCCUUUUAUUUGCAAAAGCUGCCCCAGGUGGCUCUGUGAGGGGAGCAGGGAGCUCAUCCAGCUCCACAGGUGUGCAGGGCAGCACCGAGGGAAGAUUUCUCCUGUCCUGGGGGUUUCCAGACACAAAUUAAAUCCAUUUUUAUGCCUGAAAGUGCUGGGUGACAGCAGAGAUGUGCUCAGGUGGCUGUGUUUGUCAGCUCAGAGCUGUGGGGUUAUUUUCUGUUUAUUUGCACCUUUUGGAUUUGGUAGAAUUGAUCCAGUUUGGGCAUUGAGAGAUCAGAAUUAUUUUCUACCAGCAGUAAAAUCCCUGUGACUAUACAUUCAAAGAGAAUCUUAAUCACAUUUAAUUUUAAACCUUUAAUGGGUUGUGAUCACUCCAGAGCUCCCAGUAGGGAAUUUGUGGCCAAGGAGAAGAAAAACCACCCCAAAAUCAGCCUCCUAAGCUGAAAGUCCAGACAAGAGGAUUAUUAAUUGGCCUCUUUUUUUUGUCUAAACAUGUUUGAAAAACCUUUGAAGUCAAAGUAAAAAAAAAAAAAAAUAAAAGCUCUGGAGAGCACCUUCAGGUACUGGUUUUGUCUCCUGGCUAAAAGAAAAAGAAUUUAGGUUGCUUUUUUUUAAAAAUCAGGGUGGUUUUGAGUUUCUGCAAACUUUUGUGGUCAUUUUGACGUUAGAAAUGUCAAUUUUGGGGAGGGGCUCUCAGAGGUGGAGUGAAAUAAAACAAAGCCCAGGAUCUGCUCAGACCUGCCCCUCUCAACGGGCUCAGGGCUGCUAAAAUGACAAAAUCUGGGGUUUUUCAAAAGGUUCUGGGCAAAAUUUUUGCUGCCCUCAGCAGAUAAUUGAAGUUUGUUGUUCUUUUUGGCAGGAGGCAUCUUAAAUAAUGACUUCUCCAAUUGAUCAGGGUUUGCUUAAUGAAAUAUUAGCCCUGUGAUUAUAAUUAAAGCUAAUUAAAUGAAAAAUUUAUUUGGAGCUGAAGAAUAUUGGAGGUGGAAACUUCUGCUCUGCUGUUUCUGGGGUCUUUUUACAAAGAUGAGUUGAGCAAUGCAGGGCACCUCAUGUUUUAGGGAAAUUUGAUGUAUUUAGUUUAAAAGAACAAUAUAUUUAUUUCCCCACUCUUUAAUUAAUAAUUUAAUGGUGUUACAAGUGAUUAGUGGUCAAUUGCCCAAAGUAAGAGUAGAGCCCAAACAUUUUCUGCAGAACACUCUAUUUCCAUUGUUCCCUAAAAUUAAAUCAACAUAAGAAUUGAUUUUCUGGAAUGUUUAAAGAGGAGUUUCAAAUCCUCUGAGCAGCUGUGGCUGCCCCUGGAUACCUGGAGUGUCCCAGGAGCACCCUGGGAUCAGGGAAGGUGUCCCUGGAACCCCAAACCAUCCCUGGAGUGUCCCAGGAACACCCUGGGAUCACAGGGGUGCCUCUGGAACCCCAAACCAUCCCUGGAGUGUCCCAGGAGCACCCUGGGAUCACAGGGGUGCCUCUGGAACCCCAAACCAUCCCUGGAGUGUCCAAGGAGCACCCUGGGAUCACAGGGGUGCCCCUGGAACCCCAAACCAUCCCUGGAGUGUCCCAGGAACACCCUGGGAUCACAGGGGUGCCCCUGGAACCCCAAACCAUCCCUGGAGUGUCCCAGGAGCACCCUGGGAUCACAGGGGUGCCCCUGGAACCCCAAACCAUCCCUGGAGUGUCCCAGGAGCACCCUGGGAUCACAGGGGUGCCCCUGGAACCCCAAACCAUCCCAGGAUUCUCUGCAGUGUCCCAGGAGCACCCUGGGAUCACAGGGGUGCCCCUGGAACCCCAAACCAUCCCUGGAGUGUCCCAGGAGCACCCUGGGAUCACAGGGGUGCCCCUGGAACCCCAAACCAUCCCAGGAUUCUCUGCAGUGUCCCAGGAGCACCCUGGGAUCACAGGGGUGCCCCUGGAACCCCAAACCAUCCCUGGAGUGUCCCAGGAGCACCCUGGGAGCAGGGAAGGUGUCCCUGGAACCCCAAACCAUCCCUGGAGUGUCCCAGGAGCACCCUGGGAUCAGGGAAGGUGUCCCUGGACCCCCAGACCAUCCCUGGAGUGUCCAAGGAGCACCCUGGGAUCAUAGGGGUGCCCCUGGAACCCCAAACCAUCCCUGGAGUGUCCCAGGAGCACCCUGGGAUCAGGGAAGGUGCCCCUGGAACCCCAAACCAUCCCUGGAGUGUCCCAGGAGCACCCUGGGAUCACAGGGGUGCCCCUGGAACCCCAAACCAUCCCAGGAUUCUCUGCAGUGUCCCAGGAGCACCCUGGGAUCAGGGAAGGUGCCCCUGGAACCCCAAACUAUCCCAAACCACCCCUGCAGUGUCCCAGGAGCACCCUGGGAUCAUGGGGGUGCUCCUGCUGGGCUUUAGGGUCCCUUCCCACCCCAAACCACCCCUGCAGUGUCCCAGGAGCACCCUGGGAUCGUGGGGGUGCCCCUUCCCACCCCAAACCAUCCCUGGAGUGUCCCAGGAGCACCCUGGGAUCAUGGGGGUGCUCCUGCUGGGCCUUAGGGCCCCUUCCCACCCCAGACCACCCUGGGAUCGUGGGGGUGCUCCUGCUGGGCUUUAGGGCCCCUUCCCACCCCAGACCACCCUGGGAUCAUGGGGGUGCUCCUGCUGGGCUUUAGGGCCCCUUCCCACCCCAGACCACCCUGGGAUCAAGGGGGUGCUCCUGCUGGGCUUUAGGGCCCCUUCCCACCCCAGACCACCCCGGGAUUCUCUGCAGUUCUCCCUCCUGCCUCCUUUUCCCCUCUGGACCCUGGGUGUGGGUGAGCUCAGCUCCUGGCGUGGCUCAGCGAGGCUGGGCCAGCUCCUAGGCUGGCGGUCCGGCCUAGGCAGGCUGGGUUUAAUUGCCAGGGCUAACAAAGGCUGUUCUGUCCGGGCCAGACGAGUCCUUGUUGCUCAGGUCCCAUCUGGAAGCGCCGCUCCCUCCCAGGGGCGAGGCUUUCCCAACUUCCUCCUCGGGAAAGGGAAAGCAAAUCAGCCUCGCCGGGGAUCCCAGCAGGGCCCUGAAGGGAAAGGCACAAACAGCAGCUGCCUUUGCCACCCGACCGCAAAAUGUGGGGUUUGGGGUGCCCUGAGCUGAGAGUCCAUCAGCAGGGUGGUGCUGAAGCCUCGCUGCAGGACUUUGCUAGCACAAUACCUGCUGGAGUUGAAGUGCAGUCACAGUUCUUGUUGCAGCUUGAAAUGCAGCACUUGAAAGCAGAGCUGGGUGAGGAGGCUGCAGGUGUGCUCACCUGGGGCUCUGCUCCUGGCCUGGGUGGCUGUGGGGGCUGGGAUGUUCUGUUAGCCCUGAGCUGGGACUCCCAGGCAGCAGGAUCCCAGAAUCCCGGCCUGGUUUGGGUUGGAAAACUUAAAUCCUAAAAGUGCCAGAGGCAGGGACACCUUCACUGUGCCAGGGUACUCCAAAGCCUGUCCAGCCUGGCCUUGGGCACUGCCAGGGGUCCAGGGCUGGUCACAGCUGCUCUGGGAAUUCCAUCCCAGCCAGGGAUCCCUUCCCAAUAUCCCACCCAGAUCCCCCUUUCCAGUUUAAACCCAUUCCCUGUGUUGGGAUUCCAGUCCUUGUCCCAAAUCCCUCUCCAGCUCCCCUGGAGCCCCUUCAGGCUCUGGAAGUGGCUCCAAGGUCUCUCCCUGGAGCUUCCCUCCUGCAGCCUGGCCUUGAAUCCCACAGGGAACAGCCCCCAGUUCCCAGCAUCCCACUCAUCCCUGCCCUCUGGAGCCACUCCCUGUGUCCUGUCCCCCCAUCCCUGGUCCCCAGUCCCUCUCCAGCUCUCCUGGAUCCCUUGGGGGCUGGAAGCCUGGGUAACACCAUCUUGUCACCUCCUCCAUGGCAUCAGGGACUGCCAGGGUGGCUGGAAGGGCCUUCAAUCCCAAUCCCAGGGACACCUCCUGCUGUCCCAGGCUGCUCCCAGCCCCAUCCAGGGCCUUCAAUCCCAAUCCCAGGGACUCCUCCCACUGUCCCAGGCUGCUCCCAGCCCCAUCCAGGGCCUUCAAUCCCAAUCCCAGGGACUCCUCCCGCUGUCCCAGGCUGCUCCCAACCCCAUCCAGGGCUUUAAAUCCCAAUCCCAGGGACACCUCCUGCUGUCCCAGGCUGCUCCCAGCCCCAUCCAGGGCCUUCAAUCCCAAUCCCAGGGACUCCUCCCACUGUCCCAGGCUGCUCCCAGCCCCAUCCAGGGCCUUCAAUCCCAAUCCCAGGGACUCCUCCCGCUGUCCCAGGCUGCUCCCAACCCCAUCCAGGGCUUUAAAUCCCAAUCCCAGGGACACCUCCUGCUGUCCCAGGCUGCUCCCAACCCCAUCCAGAGCCUUCAAUCCCAAUCCCAGGGACACCUCCUGCUGUCCCAGGUGCUCCCAGCCCCAUCCAGGGCCUUAAAUCCCAAUCCCAGGGACACCUCCUGCUGUCCCAGGCUGCUCCCAGCCCCAUCCAGGGCCUUCAAUCCCAAUCCCAGGGACUCCUCCCACUGUCCCAGGCUGCUCCCAACCCCAUCCAGGCCAUCCUGGGGCGUUCCCAGGGAUGGAGCAGCCCCAGCUCCCUGUCCCCCAGCUCAGUCCUGGCCUUGUUCUGUGUCCCAGGGAAUGUCUGGAGGCAGCAGAGGAGCCAGGCAGGCCCGGCAGUUUUUGGGAGCAGUUUUGUGGCACCUCAGUGCUCGGCCUGGAGCUGCCAAACUCGCCGUGCCAGAAGUUGCAGCCAACAUUUUUUGGAGCAGAGCAGUGGCCCCCCUGCCACCCCAGCUGCCCGUGCCAGGUUUUUAAUCCAGUGCACACAGGCUGACAUCACAGGAGGGUUUGGAGCAAUCACUUCCUCAUCCAGAGCUGCCAAGGGCUGGGGCUGCACCUCACAGCCCAGGUGACAUCACUGCUGCCACCCCGAGGGCUGGGACAGCACAGCCACUCCUGCCCUGCACAUCUCUGCCUUCUCUGCCUUAAAAAAACCCAAACUGAACCCAAAAUUUAAUGCUCUUUUUAAAAAAUAGGAAGGCAGUUUUGUAUGAGCACCCAAAAAAUGUGUUUAAGUAAAACAUUGUGGGUAGAAAUGCCUGGGAAUGCUUGUGAGGAGUUCAGAUAAACUCCAGGCUUUGGAAUCCCACCUGUGCCAGAUCAGGCCUUAUUUAUCUUUUCUGAAAUGGCUCUGUCAGUUGGAAAUGGAGAUUUGAAGUGGAUGUUUCUGUGCUGACAGCUGGGCAGAGUCUGGUGGGGUUUGCCCUCACCCCACUAAUGGGGUUGUGCUGCUCCUUCCGUGGGCUUGGAUCCCUUUUUCCAUCUUCCCAUUGCACUUUCAGUUCCUUUGGGUUGAUUGUUCCUGUGAAAAGGCAGAGCUUGGAGGUAACUCCAAUAAAAGGCAGCCCAUUUAUUUAUUCUAUUUUAUUUAAAUGCUCCUCAUUUCAUUUGCAGGGCUGGAAACGGAGCUGGUGCCUUUGAGGGCAGGUCCUGAUGGCUCAGGGCAAGUGGGAAGUUGGCUUGGGACUUUAACUCUUGCAAUUGGCUGUUAAAUGUUUAAUGUGGAUCUCUCCAAAUGAGGAAUAAGCUGAGCUUGUUUCCUUACAGCCUGAAGAGAGCAACUUUUUUAUUUCUUUUUUGAUGUCUUUUACAAAAGGUUUUGUGUUCUCAGCUUGCUGUCAGAAUGAAGUUGCACCUCCCAGAGAAAUCACAUUAAGUUGUUAUAAUAUUGUAUUCAGAGACAAAGGCCUUGAGUGAUUUUUGUCCUAUUUGGUUAAAAUUUAUAAAUAAAUCUCAACUUUACAAA